CGUGAGCUUGGCCACGUUGGCCGUGGACAGGCGGCUGCGCUUGUCUGUGAUAACCUCGUGCUGAUUUCACGUCCCCAUGACGGUGACAACGCAUUCGGAUGUCUGCCCUAUCAACUUUUGAUGCAAUUUUCCGUGCCUACCAUGGUGACAACGGGUAACGGGGAAUCAGGGUUCUAUUCCAGAGAGGGUUCCUGAGAAACGGCUACCACAUGCAAGGAAGGCAGCAGGCACACAAACUACCCUCUCUUGAAGCGGGGAGGUAGUGACG